UCUGGAUAGAGAUAGACAAGAAAGAUGGGAUCCCAAUCUAGUGCUUUCUGCAGUGCCCAGUGAUAAACAGGAGGCUAACAAUUGCUGAUCAGGUACUGUGCACAAGCCGGACUCCAUGCCAAGAACUUGACAUGAAUUAUCACAUGUGCCUUCAGCUGAAUGUAAGAAGUCCAGAUACCACAAGGCCACCAUGUGGACAGACUACUUAGAGGAACUGGAAAGAGAGAGAGAGAGAGCUGCCUGAGCAGCAUUGCCAGCACCUACUUGUUUGAAUCUUCCCAGCCCAGAUAUAUGACGGAAAAAACUUCAAGAUGCCCAUUGGACAGCGGCCACAAGAAAGACCCGGAGUGAGAACUCCUAAGCUGAGAUCCCACUCUUUCAGAUUCCAAAGCCAAAUAAUUAUUAAUGUUUUGAG